CUUGAAAGUCUCUUUUAGCCA
rnacentral:siRNA from 1 species